ensembl:misc_RNA 7SK 7SK RNA
AGAUGUGAGGGCGAGCUGGCUGCGACAGCUGUCACCCCAUUGAUCGCCAGGGUUGAUUCGGCUGAUCUGGCUGACUAGGCAGGUGACCCCCCCCUUCCUCCCUCACCGCUUCAUGUGCGUUCCUCCCGAAGCUGCGCGCUUGGUCGAAGAGGACGGCCUUCCCCGAAUAAGACAGACCGGUCUUUGGUCGAGGGUAUAUGAGUAGCUGCGCUCCCCUGCUAGAACCUCCAAACAAGCUCUCAAGGUCCAUAAUUAUAAAGGGGGCUGGUUGAUGGUGCUCCGGGUUGAGCACACAUAUUAUAAUGCGCAAGGAACCU